rnacentral:tRNA from 1 species
UGUGGCUCAGUGGUAGAGCGCUUGCCUACUGUGUGUGAGGCACUGGGUUCAAUUCUCAGCA